rnacentral:misc_RNA from 1 species
GUGAAUCAUCGAAUCUUUGAACGCAAAUUGCACUCUCUGGUAUUCCGGGGAGUAUGCCUGUUUGAGGGUCAGUUUAAAUAAAAAUCGGUAUGGUUGCUGCCUUUCGUCGUGACGCACCGGAUUUUGGUUGUUUUGCCUUCCGUUAAUUGACAUAACAUUGUGCAUGAUUUUUUUCGAACGUAUUUAAAUUAUUUUACGUACGUUUGCGAUAUCGAAUACUAG